AAGAGCCAAAAACCUGUAAGCAAUUCAUCCAUUUCCUGAAAUGGAAAGAUGGAAAGAUGAUAUUUGUAAUCCAUGAGACCUUUCUCAUGAGAGAGCAUAGGGAGAAUUUCUAGAAUUCCUGAAAAGGCAAAGCCUUUGAAGAUGUCUAGGCACAGUGAGAACCUGCUCCUCAGUUACCACCUAGAUGUUGAUGGAGGCGGCAGCAGCAGCCACAGCAGCAAUGGCUGGAGUUCCUCUGUGGUUGGCCAGCACACUAAAUUCAAAGGGAGUUCCCUCAGUAGGGUCAAAGGAUUCUCACCAUUCCCUCUCCCGGCCAAAAUCACCUGCAACACCCCUGGAUCCUCCUCAGGAUAUAUCUCUGCG